rnacentral:lncRNA from 1 species
GGGCAUUCUUCUCUGGUUCGGAUUUCACUGGCUUCGGUAGCACUACUUCCAAGUCAAAGCUUUCUGGAGCAAUUUUGUUUGGAGUAGUGCAGUCUGAAUUCAUGGAAGUCAUUGAAAUAACCGACAACUGGCGAUAGGAUCUCAGCAUUGAUCUUGGCCGUCCUACUCUCUUGUCAUCAAAAUCUGGCAAUUCUCUGGCUCCAUAUUGUUUUUCCACUUUCGCUUUUAAAUGCUUGAAACAUUCCUCCAUUCUGUCAUGGAAAGGACGAAGAUUGUCGGAAACUCUUCUUUCAUGAAUUCUA